GCUCAUGUAGCUUAAGCCAAAGCAUAGCACUGAAGAUGCUAAGAUGAUCCCUAGAAAGUUCCAUAGGCA
rnacentral:tRNA from 2 species